rnacentral:lncRNA from 1 species
GUCACCUCCAUAGGUACAACCAGGAGGAAGGAGGAGAGAGAUCCUUUCCAUUGAAGAACACUUCCUGAGUGGGCGCCCCCAGCCCUCUGCUGCUUGGACCUCAUUGGCCAGAACUCAGUCAGAUGAAGCAGCUUGCUGGGGAGGCUGAGUAAUGCUGUCUGGGUUCCGGGAAGCCCUGGGGAGUUGAGUGUCAGUUUUCUUACCAUGGAAGAAGGGAAGAGUAGACUUCAGGAAUAGCCUCACUCACUCUCCACAGGAGAAUCCCAGCCAGCGAACAACAUCACGUCUCUUCUCCAGCCCCCCUCCAACUCAGCCCUCCAGGACCUCAGAAUGGAACUGUGUUUGGAGACAGGACCUUUAAAAUGGUGUCUAGCCACAGAGAUUUCCUGGGCUGCUGAAAUAGGCACACGAUACCUUUGGCCCUCAGUCCUUAGGGAUGGUGGUCCAAAAUUCCCU